UUUAAUAUGGUUUCUGUAGGAGGACAAACAUGACAUAAACCUCCCUAAUUGUUAUAAAGCACACUGUUUAUAUUAAACAUGCUUCACUGAUUCGAGUAUUUGGCGAGCGCCGUUUUGUCCUACUAAUUUUGGCGGUCCUUGAACUCACCUUAGUUUGUGUCCAUGUAUAACUUUCUCCGACUUUCUAGGACGUGUUUUAUGCCACUUCUUUUUCUGUCUCAUUUUGUCCACCACCCUUUUAACGUGUGUGAAGGCACAAAGUUUGUUUUGGAGGAGACAUUAAGUGGAAGUCACCUCAUGCAGAACAACGCUCUCGACAACAGUCCUUCAGAUGUUCACGAACUGACGUGGCAAGGUCGGUGCUUCAAGACCGCCCCCCAAAAUUCCUUCCCCGUCUUUAACGGACACACACCUGUUGGUUGCGGACUUUUGUUGGCUGUGUUAUUGCUAUAACACUCUGCGAGCACCAAGGUCGAGGAACAAAGGCGACUCUUCAGGCUUACACACACAAGCCAAAUACAGCCACGGAAAAUAGACGCUACACUCACAAGGGCCCCGACCACUGCAUCCCAAACCUUUGUUGCUUCACCGUCCAAAGGUAUGAUGGACAACAAAGCAGUGCCCCUGUUGACAGCAGCUUCGGGCCGAAUGCAUGCCCCUUUCCCCCCCUCGUUGCAAGUACUGAGUUGUGUGUCGUAAUACGUGUAUAUGUGCUAUGCUCCAGGGUUCAUACUGUAUACUUAAAAUGCUGUUUUGCAAGGCUAAAAACUGAAUUCUCUCCUAUUCUAUUUUUGACUGUACUUGAAUGUAUAUUAGACCUUAUUUAUAUUAUUCUGCACCUGAAGGCUAAAUACUGACUGGAUAAACUCUAUCCUAUUCCAUUUUGACUAUACUUGAAUCAGAGGGUACAAUGCAUAUAUUAAACUACAAAAUAGUCAUUACUUAUAUAAUUCAUACUUAAAAUGCUGUUUUGCAUGGCUAAAAACUGAAUCCUCUCCUAUUCCAUUUUGACUGUACUUGAAUGUAUAUUAGACCGUAUUUAUAUUAUUAA